rnacentral:rRNA from 1 species
GACGAACGCUGGCGGCGUGCCUAAUACAUGCAAGUCGAACGGGAGCGACCGGUGCUUGCACUGGUCAAUCUAGUGGCGAACGGGUGAGUAACACGUGGGUAACCUGCCCAUCAGAGGGGGAUAACAUCCGGAAACGGAUGCUAAAACCGCAUAGGUCUUCGAGCCGCAUGGCUUGAAGAGGAAAAGAGGCGCAAGCUUCUGCUGAUGGAUGGACCCGCGGUGCAUUAGCUAGUUGGUGAGGUAACGGCUCACCAAGGCCGUGAUGCAUAGCCGACCUGAGAGGGUGAUCGGCCACAUUGGGACUGAGACACGGCCCAAACUCCUACGGGAGGCAGCAGUAGGGAAUCUUCCGCAAUGGACGCAAGUCUGACGGAGCAACGCCGCGUGAGUGAAGAAGGUUUUCGGAUCGUAAAACUCUGUUGUUAGAGAAGAACAAGUGCUAGAGUAACUGUUAGCGCCUUGACGGUAGCUAACCAGAAAGCCACGGCUAACUACGUG